UACGUAGGUGGCAAGCGUUGUCCGGAUUUACUGGGCGUAAAGCGCGCGCAGGCGGUUCGUUAAGUCCGGUGUGAAAGCUCCCGGCUCAACUGGGAGAGGUCAUCGGAUACUGGCGGACUUGAGGAAGGUAGAGGAAGGUGGAAUUCCCGGUGUAGUGGUGAAAUGCGUAGAGAUCGGGAGGAACACCAGUGGCGAAGGCGGCCUUCUGGGCCUUUCCUGACGCUGAGGCGCGAAAGCCAGGGGAGCGAACGGG
rnacentral:rRNA from 1 species